UUUUUCUCUACCCAUUUUUUUUUGUGCAUCAAAACUUGGUAGGAUGCCUGCUCAUGGAGAAACAGGAGGCAAGAGUUUAAGCAUCAGCAGCUGUGGGAAUGACCUACAACAAAUGGGACAUUUGUUCCAGACAUUCUGCUGGUGAAAUGUAUGUUCUGAAAGCAAUGCCUGAAUCAAGGAUGGAAAUUAUCCUCUGGUUGUGAGAAACACACACAGCCCAGCCCUGCCCUUCCUCAAGAAACUCCCUGACAGCUGCUGCAGCUUUGCUGUGCUGUCCCUCUGCCCCGUGCCACGCACAGCUGUGUUGAGAGAAAUUUAUAAGAAAUAAGUGAUAGAUAGUAAAUAACUCCUCUCUGAGCUUGCAGCAGCCUCAGAAUCCUCCAUGGCAGCAGAGCCAAAAGGUGAUGUCCUGUGCUGUUACCAGCUGGCUCAGGUAAAAAUCUGCUGUGAUAUGCAAAAAUAAAAAAAGGAGAGGAUUCUGGUUUAUAGCUGGAACCACAGUCUGCCACUGGAAGACAUUUAUUACAAGACAUUUAUUACAAGUGGCUCAGACACUACUUGCCCUCCUGAUUUUGAGUUGUCCCUUUCUCUGCAGUGGAAUUCAUUGAUUUCAUCAGAGCUACUCACAUUCUUAAGUACAAAUGGUUCUAAGUGAGGGUGAGAAAAUUGUACCUUAAUCCCUAGACUCUUUUAGACCUUUUUGUCCAUCCCCUAAAUUUUUUAUGCCACCA